rnacentral:rRNA from 1 species
UGGUGGAGUGAUUUGUCUGGUUAAUUCCGAUAACGAACGAGACCUUAAUCUGCUAAUUAGUUGGGCAAAGUCUAACUUUGUUUCUUCCAACUUCUUAGAGAGACAGCUGGCGUUUAGCCAAAGGAAGUUUGAGGCAAUAACA